GAUGAACGCUGGCGGCGUGCCUAAUACAUGCAAGUCGAGCGAACAGACGAGGAGCUUGCUCCUCUGACGUUAGCGGCGGACGGGUGAGUAACACGUGGAUAACCUACCUAUAAGACUGGGAUAACUUCGGGAAACCGGAGCUAAUACCGGAUAAUAUAUUGAACCGCAUGGUUCAAUAGUGAAAGACGGUUUUGCUGUCACUUAUAGAUGGAUCCGCGCUGCAUUAGCUAGUUGGUAAGGUAACGGCUUACCAAGGCGACGAUGCGUAGCCGACCUGAGAGGGUGUUCGGCCACACUGGAACUGAGACACGGUCCAGACUCCUACGGGAGGCAGCAGUAGGGAAUCUUCCGCAAUGGGCGAAAGCCUGACGGAGCAACGCGGCGUGGGUGAUGAAGGUCUUCGGAUCGUAAAACUCUGUUAUUAGGGAAGAACAAAUGUGUAAGUAACUAUGCACGUCUUGACGGGACCUAAUCAGAAAGCCACGGCUAACUACGU
rnacentral:rRNA from 1 species